rnacentral:misc_RNA from 1 species
UCCGUAGGUGAACCUGCGGAAGGAUCAUUACAGAAAGUAAACGCGGGUCAAACCGCGAACUUUUAAACCUUUGAUGAUUGACUCGUGUUGCCUCGGCGGGCUCGCCCGCCAGAGGAUAUAUCAAAACUCCGAUUUUAACGGUGUUGUCUGAGCUACAAGCAACGAAUCAAAACUUUCAACAACGGAUCUCUUGGUUCUGGCAUCGAUGAAGAACGCAGCGAAAUGCGAUAAGUAGUGUGAAUUGCAGAAUUCAGUGAAUCAUCGAAUCUUUGAACGCACAUUGCGCCCCUUGGUAUCCCGAGGGGCAUGCCUGUUCGAGCGUCAUUACACCACUCAAGCCUGGCUUGGUGUUGGGCGACGUCCCCUUUGGGGACGCGCCUUAAAACGCUCGGCGGCGUGGCACCGGCUUUAAGCGUAGCAGA